rnacentral:rRNA from 1 species
GGGAGGCAGCAGUGGGGAUUUUUCCGCAAUGGGCGAAAGCCUGACGGAGCACCGCCGCGUGAGAGAUGAAGCCCUCUGGGCUGUAAACCUCUUUUCUCAAGGAAGAAGAUAUGACGGUACUUGAGGAAUAAGCCACGGCUAAUUCUGUGCCAGCAGCCGCGGUAAUACGGGAGUGGCAAGCGUUAUCCUGAAUUAUUGGGCGUAAAGUGUCCGCAGGCGGCCUUAUAAGUCUGUGGUUAAAGCGUGGAGCUUAACUCCAUUUCAUCGAUGGAAACUGUGAGGAUAGAGUGUGGUAGGGGCGGGGGGAAUUCCCGGUGUAGCGGUGAAAUGCGUAGAUAUCGGGAAGAACACCAGUGGCGAGGGCGCUUUUCUGGGCCAUAACUGACGCUCAUGGGCGAAAGCCAGGGGAGCGCAAGGGAUUAUGAUACCCCUGUAGUCCUCGCCGUAAACGAUGAACUACUAGGUGUUGGUGGGAAUCCGACCCGCCUGCGGUGUCGUAGCUAACGCGU